GCCUCUUCCCCGCCUACUGGGUUGCCGAAGUCCGGCGGCAGAAGGUUGCGGUGCUUUCCUUCUUUCUCUUUUUCUUUUUUUUUUUUUCUUCGGCGGUUUGCGUUUUUUUUAGGAGACUCUGUGGUUUAAAAGCCAGAGAGAAUCUGGAAAGGAGCCACCACUCCUAGCCCUCUUUCCUCCCGAGUUUGCGACUCCCCGGGGCAAAAUGGACAAAGUCUGUGCUGUUUUCGGAGGCUCCAGGGGCAUUGGGAGGGCAGUGGCCCAGUUAAUGGCCCAAAAAGGCUACCGACUGGCCAUCAUCGCCAGAAAUCUGGAAGUGGCCAAAGCCGCCGCCGGUGAGCUCGGCGGAGAUCAUUUAGCACUUAGCUGUGAUGUUGCCAAAGAACGUGAUGUUCAAAAUACAUUUGAAGAGAUGGAAAAAAAUUUAGGUCGAGUUAAUUUCUUGGUAAACGCAGCUGGAAUUAACAGGGAUAGCCUUUUAGUAAGAACAAAAACUGAAGAUAUGAUAUCUCAGCUUCAUACUAACCUCUUGGGUUCCAUGCUGACUUGUAAAGUUGCCUUGAAGACUAUGAUUCAACAGCAGAGAGGGUCUAUUGUUAAUGUAGGAAGUAUUAUUGGUUUAAAAGGCAAUUCUGGCCAGUCUGUGUACAGUGCAGGUAAAGGAGGAGUAGUUGGAUUUUCACGCGCUCUUGCUAAAGAAGUAGCAAGAAAGAAAAUUAGAGUGAAUGUAGUCGCACCAGGACUUUGUUCUGGCCACCACUGCAACCCCACCACCAGCAUAAGAAAUGUACCUUUCAGGCACUGAUUAAGAUUUGUAGGACGAAUACACAUCUGCACUGGAAUUAUUCAUGUGAAAAACACCUGAUGGACAUGGGGUUCGUGUUCAAGCCUGGCCGCUCACCAGCUCCCUGACCUUGGACAAGUUAAUCAAACCUCACUGAGCUCAGUUCUGUCACCUGCAAUUUGCGAGUGACACUGAUAACAUCACGUGAGUAAAUGCUGUAGGUAUACGAAAAGCUCUUGUCGAUUGUUAUUCUCUUAUUCAAUUCUUCAAACCCAAACUCUACUCUUCUACUCUUUUUGGUUUCUGAUGCCUCCUGAGGAAGGCCCUGAACUUAAAUAGUACUUCGAACAUUUUACAUCAUGGGUCCUGAGAAAGGUAGUCUGUAUCUCUUCCUCCUAUUAUACACACUGUAUUUUGGAAGCUAAACUUCCACAGAAAACAGAACUCUUAAAAAGCUAUGUUUUCAGCUUACCUUUGGCUUUGGAUUCCCAGUCACCCUGCAUGUGAAAGUUACAGGCAUUCCCUCAAAGAUCUUGUAAUGUUUUAGCUUCAUCUCAAACAACGGUGCCACUCCAUUUUCCACAGGCACGUCCCCAUACUGAAUGUCAUCACCUGAUUCAUCCACAGGAGACCUCUCUAGCCUGUACUCGAUUUCACUGAUGAGUCUCUGUUCACAGCUGGAGACUUUGUAUUCCUGUAUCAGGCGGAAAAAGGUCAUGUUAGCAACCUCAGUCCCGUGUGGUCCCACGUGUCUCAGGAGUCUUAUUCUCCUCUCCAAUGAGGCACUCAGAAGACAGUGAUCUUUUUACCAGAGACUUAAAAACAAGUCUGAACCCAA